UGUAGCUCACGAAAGCUUAUGCUCAAAUAAAUUUGUUAGUCUCUAAGGUGCCACAAGGAUGGAAAGAGGCAGGUAAUAGUAUCCACUGGAGCUAACUCUGGAAGAGAGAAGAGGGUAAGAACAGAGCAAUAGACUUUCAUGCUAUAUAAUCAACACUAGGAGCAGCAGAUUGGAAGAAAUGAGGCAGGGUCAGGAAUAUUGACCAAUUUAUUUCAGAACAGGAUAAAGUAAUGUGGAAAGGUCAGUGAUGCUGCAAGAUGGCCACUAGAGGGCAGCAUAUUCUAAGCAGGAGAAACAGGCAGCUAUUUUGUGAAAUGCCUACUAGAUGGCAGCAGAUAUAGGUUUAUUAUUAAUUAUUAUAAGGGCAGUACAUUAUAAGAGGCCACCACCUUGAACAAGUGUCUCUGAAAAUUUAACCUAGAUUUUCGUUAUUGAACUAUUUUUUCCCCAUGGGGAUUUUUCCUUCAUUUAUAAGGAAUUAAUAUCACAUUGGGCAACGUUUACAAAAAAAAAGUUUUGCAGACAGAUAAUUAGUCCUGGAGGUAGUUAAAGUGGGACCCUUAUUACAAAGUUCAAAAACCAUCAUCAUUAAAUGAACAAAUCCUAAAAGGGGUUAGAAUACUGUUUCCCAAUCAAUUUUGCAAUCAAGCAUAAUAAAAUAAACAAACAAACAAACAAAUAAAUACAUAAAUAAAAGUGGUUUGUUGCCUAAAGGCUGAAAGAAACAAUUUAUUGGUUCAUAUGAGAAAACUUUGGUGAAAAAUAAAAUAAA